rnacentral:rRNA from 1 species
AGAGUUUGAUCCUGGCUCAGGACGAACGCUGGCGGCGUGCUUAACACAUGCAAGUCGAACGAUGAACCUCCUUCGGGAGGGGAUUAGUGGCGAACGGGUGAGUAACACGUGGGCAACCUGCCCCGCACACUGGGAUAAGCCCUGGAAACGGGGUCUAAUACCGGAUAUGACUCAAGGUCGCAUGGUCUUGGGUGGAAAGCUCCGGCGGUGCGGGAUGGGCCCGCGGCCUAUCAGCUUGUUGGUGAGGUAACGGCUCACCAAGGCGACGACGGGUAGCCGGCCUGAGAGGGCGACCGGCCACACUGGGACUGAGACACGGCCCAGACUCCUACGGGAGGCAGCAGUGGGGAAUAUUGCACAAUGGGCGCAAGCCUGAUGCAGCGACGCCGCGUGAGGGAUGAAGGCCUUCGGGUUGUAAACCUCUUUCAGCAGGGAAGAAGCUCUUGAGUGACGGUACCUGCAGAAGAAGCGCCGGCUAACUACGUGCCAGCAGCCGCGGUAAUACGUAGGGCGCGAGCGUUGUCCGGAAUUAUUGGGCGUAAAGAGCUCGUAGGCGGCUUGUCGCGUCGGUUGUGAAAGCCCGGGGCUUAACUCCGGGUCUGCAGUCGAUACGGGCAGGCUAGAGUUCGGUAGGGGAGAUCGGAAUUCCUGGUGUAGCGGUGAAAUGCGCAGAUAUCAGGAGGAACACCGGUGGCGAAGGCGGAUCUCUGGGCCGAUACUGACGCUGAGGAGCGAAAGCGUGGGGAGCGAACAGGAUUAGAUACCCUGGUAGUCCACGCCGUAAACGGUGGGCACUAGGUGUGGGCGGCAUUCCACGUCGUCCGUGCCGUAGCUAACGCAUUAAGUGCCCCGCCUGGGGAGUACGGCCGCAAGGCUAAAACUCAAAGGAAUUGACGG